rnacentral:lncRNA from 1 species
GAUUAUGGGACAGCUCUCAGAUAAAUUUUACUACACAGAUUGUCUCUUUUUUGGAGCAAUCAUCUCUGCCACUGACCCAGGAAGACUCUGAUUUCAUCCUGACCGAAGGCGACCUGACAUUGACCUACGGGGACAGCACAGUGACUGCAAAUGGCUCCUCAAGUUCGCACACCGCCUCCACGAGUCUGGAGGGCAGCCGGAGAACGAAGAGCAGCUCGGAGGAAGUGCUGGAGCGAGACCUGGGAAUGGGAGACCAGAAGGUUUCGAGCCGGGGCACCCGCCUAGUGUUUCCCCUGGAAGAUAAUGCUUGACUUUCCCCCCAAGCCCUGGCGCGAUGGGACUGAAGAUUUGAAAAUACAUCCACGAACAUUUCAACAUGGAACGAAGAAUUAUAGUUCCUUCUCUGGCUAUAUCC